CCAGAAGUUCUCAGAGGGUGAGGGUCCCACAUCUCCUGCAGGACAGGCCCUAGCUACUGAGUCACAGAAACCCAGGGCCGAAGCAAAGUCCCAAUCCCAGAGAGGCUGGGGCACACCUACAACUGAAAGGAGGCUUAGAAAUCCUUCAGAGACCACCCUAUCGGUUCUCCUCCACCUGGACAGGAUGAGCCAGCAACACAGAAGGAAGAGGCCUUCCUCCGAAAGGUAUAUUUGUAAGCCGAGUUGAAUGCUUUGUGGAGAGAGGAUUCUUUACCCACGGCUUCCUUC
rnacentral:lncRNA from 1 species